GGCCAGGUAGCUCAGUCGGUAGAGCAGGGGAUUGAAAAUCCCCGUGUCGGCAGUUCGAUUCUGUCCCUGGCCA
rnacentral:tRNA from 1 species